rnacentral:rRNA from 1 species
AAUGGGUCAGCGACUUAUAUUCUGUAGCAAGGUUAACCGAAUAGGGGAGCCGAAGGGAAACCGAGUCUUAACUGGGCGUUAAGUUGCAGGGUAUAGACCCGAAACCCGGUGAUCUAGCCAUGGGCAGGUUGAAGGUUGGGUAACACUAACUGGAGGACCGAACCGACUAAUGUUGAAAAAUUAGCGGAUGACUUGUGGCUGGGGGUGAAAGGCCAAUCAAACCGGGAGAUAGCUGGUUCUCCCCGAAAGCUAUUUAGGUAGCGCCUCGUGAAUUCAUCUCCGGGGGUAGAGCACUGUUUCGGCAAGGGGGUCAUCCCGACUUACCAACCCGAUGCAAACUGCGAAUACCGGAGAAUGUUAUCACGGGAGACACACGGCGGGUGCUAACGUCCGUCGUGAAGAGGGAAACAACCCAGACCGCCAGCUAAGGUCCCAAAGUCAUGGUUAAGUGGGAAACGAUGUGGGAAGGCCCAGACAGCCAGGAUGUUGGCUUAGAAGCAGCCAUCAUUUAAAGAAAGCGUAAUAGCUCACUGGUCGAGUCGGCCUGCGCGGAAGAUGUAACGGGGCUAAACCAUGCACCGAAGCUGCGGCAGCGACGCU